rnacentral:rRNA from 1 species
GUCCUCUUGAUUAUAUUUUGAGGUCUGGCCUGCUCACUGACAAGUUUUAAAGAGCCGCGGUAUUUUGACCGUGCAAAGGUAGCAUAAUCAUUAGUCUCUUAAUUAGGGGCUGGAAUGAAUGGCUUGACGAGAAAUUAACUGUCUCUUAUUAAAUAAUAGAAUUUAACUUUUGAGUUAAAAGGCUUAAAUUUUUCUUAAAGACGAGAAGACCCUAUAGAGCUUGACAUUUUAUUUUAAUAUAAUUUUUAGAUAGUUUUUUUAUAUUUUAAGAUAAUGUUUUGUUGGGGUGACAUGAAGAAUAAAUAAACUCUUCAUUAUAAAAUCAUUGAUUUAUGUUUAUUUUGAUCCAUAAUUUAUGAUCAUAAGAUUAAGUUACCUUAGGGAUAACAGCGUAAUUGUUUUUGAGAGCUCAUAUUGACAAAGCAGAUUGCGACCUCGAUGUUGGAUUAAGAAUAAUUUUGGGUGCAGGAGCCCAGUA